AUCGCUUCUCGGCCUUUUGGCUAAGAUCAAGUGUAGUAUCUGUUCUUAUCAGUUUAAUAUCUGAUACGUCCCCCGUCCGGGGACUACAUAUUAAAUGGAUUUUUAGAUCACGGAGCUGGAGCCGGGGCUUGCUCCGUCCACUCCAUGCAUCGGCCUGGUAUUGCAGUGUCUCCAGGAACGGUGUGCUUUCC
ensembl:snRNA U2 U2 spliceosomal RNA